rnacentral:lncRNA from 13 species
CUUUUACUUUUCCUUCUGUUUUUCUCAAGCAGAACAAGUAUCUCCACAUAUCUACCACAGCUGGGAUUCUGCUGGUUCAUACCUGGAGCUGGCACAUCUCUGGUCUCACCCAAGGCCCAUGCUCGUUCUUGCAGCCGGCUGGGGAGCUGUUGCUUCUGCCAACGCCGCCGUCAGCCAGAGCGCUGAAGAAAUGCUGAAGGCCCGCGGGCAGUGCAAGAGUAAAGAAAACGCUCUCCUCCUGCCCAUCUCCUCCACCACGGCCUCCGCAGUCCUCCCAGGUGACUCCCAAACACAGUGUAAAGUUGAC